rnacentral:rRNA from 1 species
GACGAACGCUGGCGGCGUGCUUAACACAUGCAAGUCGAACGGAAAGGCCCUGCUUUUGUGGGGUGCUCGAGUGGCGAACGGGUGAGUAACACGUGAGUAACCUGCCCUUGACUUUGGGAUAACUUCAGGAAACUGGGGCUAAUACCGGAUAGGAGCUCUUGCUGCAUGGUGGGGGUUGGAAAGUUUCGGCGGUUGGGGAUGGACUCGCGGCUUAUCAGCUUGUUGGUGGGGUAGUGGCUUACCAAGGCUUUGACGGGUAGUCGGCCUGAGAGGGUGACCGGCCACAUUGGGACUGAGAUACGGCCCAGACGCCUACGGGAGGCAGCAGUGGGGAAUAUUGCACAAUGGGCGGAAGCCUGAGGCAGCAACGCCGCGUGCGGGAUGACGGCCUUCGGGUUGUAAACCGCUUUCGCCUGUGACGAAGCGUGAGUGACGGUAAUGGGUAAAGAAGCACCGGCUAACUACGUG